AGUGAACGCUGGCGGUAGGCCUAACACAUGCAAGUCGAACGGCAGCACAGUAAGAGCUUGCUCUUACGGGUGGCGAGUGGCGGACGGGUGAGGAAUACAUCGGAAUCUACUUUUUCGUGGGGGAUAACGUAGGGAAACUUACGCUAAUACCGCAUACGACCUACGGGUGAAAGCAGGGGAUCUUCGGACCUUGCGCGAUUGAAUGAGCCGAUGUCGGAUUAGCUAGUUGGCGGGGUAAAGGCCCACCAAGGCGACGAUCCGUAGCUGGUCUGAGAGGAUGGUCAGCGACACUGGAACUGAGACACGGUCCAGACUACGACGGGAGGCAGCAGUGGGGAAUGGUGGACAAUGGGGGCAAGUCUGAUCCAGCCAUACCGGGUAGGUGAAAAAGGCCGUCGAGUUGUACAGCCCUUUUGUUGGGAAAAAAAAGCAGCAGGUUAAUACCCCGCUGUUCUGACGGUACCCAAAGAAUAAGCACCGGCUAACUUCGUG
rnacentral:rRNA from 1 species